rnacentral:rRNA from 1 species
GGCAAACGGGUGCGGAACACGUACAGAACCUUCCUUCGAGCGGGGAAUAGCCCAGAGAAAUUUGGAUUAAUACCCCAUAGUAUAUUGAAGAGGCAUCUCUUUAAUAUUAAAGAUUUAUCACUUGAAGAUGGCUGUGCGGCUGAUUAGGUAGUUGGCGGGGUAACGGCCCACCAAGCCUGCGAUCAGUAACUGGUGUGAGAGCACGACCAGUCACACGGGCACUGAGACACGGGCCCGACUCCUACGGGAGGCAGCAGUAAGGAAUAUUGGUCAAUGGACGCAAGUCUGAACCAGCCAUGCCGCGUGGAGGAUGAAGGUCCUCUGGAUUGUAAACUUCUUUUAUUUGGGACGAAAAAGGGUCUUUCUAGAUCAACUGACGGUACCAGAUGAAUAAGCACCGGCUAACUCCGUGCCAGCAGCCGCGGUAAUACGGAGGGUGCAAGCGUUAUCCGGAUUCACUGGGUUUAAAGGGUGCGUAGGUGGGUUGGUAAGUCAGUGGUGAAAUCCCCGAGCUUAACUUGGGAACUGCCAUUGAUACUAUCAGUCUUGAAUACCGUGGAGGUUAGCGGAAUAUGUCAUGUAGCGGUGAAAUGCUUAGAUAUGACAUAGAACACCAAUUGCGAAGGCAGCUGGCUACACGAAUAUUGACACUGAGGCACGAAAGCGUGGGGAUCAAACAGGAUUAGAUACCCUGGUAGUCCACGCCCUAAACUAUGGAUACUCGACAUCAGCGAUACACUGUUGGUGUCUGAGCGAAAGCAUUAAGUAUCCCACCUGGGAAGUACGAUCGCAAGAUUGAAAC